rnacentral:rRNA from 1 species
GUGGGGAAUAUUGCACAAUGGGGGAAACCCUGAUGCAGCAACGCCGCGUGAAGGAAGAAGUAUCUCGGUAUGUAAACUUCUAUCAGCAGGGAAGAAAAUGACGGUACCUGACUAAGAAGCUCCGGCUAAAUACGUGCCAGCAGCCGCGGUAAUACGUAUGGAGCAAGCGUUAUCCGGAUUUACUGGGUGUAAAGGGAGCGUAGGCGGUUAUGCAAGUCAGAUGUGAAAGCCCGGGGCUUAACCCCGGGACUGCAUUUGAAACUGUGUAACUAGAGUGUCGGAGAGGUAAGUGGAAUUCCUAGUGUAGCGGUGAAAUGCGUAGAUAUUAGGAGGAACACCAGUGGCGAAGGCGGCUUACUGGACGAUAACUGACGCUGAGGCUCGAAAGCGUGGGGAGCAAACAGGAUUAGAUACCCCUGUAGUCC